AAUAAAUGAAAAUUUGCUUUGUGAAAGGUUAUGCAAAAGUUUCUACUCAGCUGUGAUCAAAAUGGUAAUCUGAUCUAUAAAACACCAUGCAGAAAGUGUCACAUAUUGCUCAAAAGUUCAGGACCAUGUACAUAUUUUGCAGACAAGAUAGACUGCAGAUGCUGGAAUCUGGAACAAAAAGCAGAAUGCUGGAUGAACAUCAUCUAUGGAGGCAGACAGCUGCAAGUUGACAUACAAGUAUUGGUAUUGAAAAUUCACAGCUGGAAUAGUCUUAAAGACCGAAAAUUGCUACCUAGCAAACACAAGCAAGUUUCUCUUUGAAGAAUUUAUCCUGUGGAUUAUUACACGUGAGAACAAAAAUCUCUGUUGCCUGUGAAGCAGCU